ensembl:lncRNA
GUGGUGGUGGAGGUGGAGAAGAGGAGAUGUGUUAUCUGUGGGGGUGGUGGUGGUAGUGGUGGUGGUAGGGGUGGAGAAGAGGAGAUGUGUUAUCUGUGGUGGUGGAGGUGGUGGUAGUGGUGGUGGUGGGGAAGAGGAGAUGUGUUAUCUGUGGUGGAGGUGGUGGUAGUGGUGGUGGUGGAGGUGGAGAAGAGGAGAUGUGUUAUCUGUGGUGGUGGUGGUGGAGGUAGUGGUGGUGGUGGAGAAGAGGAGAUGUGUUAUCUGUGGUGGUGGUGGAGGUGGUGGUAGUGGUGGAGGUGGAGAAGAGGAGAUGUGUUAUCUGUGGUGGUGGUGGAGGUGGUGGUAGUGGUGGUGGUGGGGGUGGAGAAGAGGAGAUGUGUUAUCUGUGGUGGUGGUAGUGGUGGUGGUGGUGGAGGUGGAGAAGAGGAGAUGUGUUAUCUGUGGUGGUGGAGGUGGUGGUAGUGGUGCUGGUGGAGGUGGAGAAGAGGAGAUGUGUUAUCUACGGUGGUGGUGGUGGUGGUGGUGGAGGUGGAGAAGAGGAGAUGUGUUAUCUGUGGUGGUGGUGGUGGUGGAGGUGGUGGUGGUGGUGGAGGUGGAGAAGAGGAGAUGUGUUAUCUGUGGUGGUGGUGGAGGUGGUGGUAGUGGUGGAGGUGGAGAAGAGGAGAUGUGUUAUCUGUGGUGGUGGUGGUGGUAGUGGUGGUGGUGGAGGUGGAGAAGAGGAGAUGUGUUAUCUGUGGUGGUGGUGGUGGAGGUGGUGGUGAUGGAGGUGGAGAAGAGGAGAUGUGUUAUCUGUGGUGGGGGGGUGGUGGUGGUGAUGGAGGUGGAGAAGAGGAGAUGUGUUAUCUGUGGUGGUGGAGGUGGUGGUAGUGGUGGAGGUGGAGAAGAGGAGAUGUGUUAUCUGUGGUGGUGGUGGUGGAGGUGGUGGUAGUGGUGGUGGUGGGGGUGGAGAAGAGGAGAUGUGUUAUCUGUGGUGGUGGUAGUGGUGGUGGUGGUGGAGGUGGAGAAGAGGAGAUGUGUUAUCUGUGGUGGUGGAGGUGGUGGUAGUGGUGCUGGUGGAG